GAUAAGUCUACCAGAGGGGUAAGACCUACAGGCAGCAAGAGAGAAACUAGAAACAUUAAUAAGACAGAAGAAGGAAAUCAAUGGCUCCCACAGAUUCCAUAACCUGAAACACCCCUUUUAAAUUCAUCUCAACAAGAAAUGAGAACAAAACCACCCUGGAUAAUGAGGGAAUAAUGAAGAUUUUUGCAGAGCCAGCUCUUGAUAAAAGAGAGGAAGAGUGGGAUCCCAAACAGAAGGCUGCUGCCUGGUCCCAGAAUGGGGAGAGUUAAUACUGCAGCAGCAGAGAGAGCUCAGGAAAUGAACAAUAUGCUGAGUCACCAAUUGACUGCCCGGACCUCAGCAGCAUCAUUCUGCUCUCACCAUCCCAGGGGACUGCACAUCCAGUGCCCCAUUUCUGUCAUUUCUGCUUGGGACUGGAGUGGGCAGAGGGUCAGACCCCUUUGGCAGUCUGAUUACACCUAUGGAUUCCUCUCAGAAUUAUUCUUAAUUGUGUAAAAGAUAUGAACUUAAACCAAGGCAAUCCCAAUAAACUUUGGAUGGAAAAUGCCAUCUGCAUCCAGAGAGAGAACUAUGGAGACCAAAUGUAAAUCGACACAUGCUCAUUUGAGAGAUGAGGAAACUGAAGCAAACAGGAUGAAGUGAGAUGCCCAGGAUUACACAGCUAGUAAAUGUCUGAGGCUGGAUUUGAACUCAGGAAGAUGAGCCUCAAAGCCCAAUUCUUUUUGUACAGCAAAAUAACUGUAUGGACAUGUAUAAAUAUAUUGUAUUUAGAAUGUGAACUAUCUGCAUUUUUGAUUUUCUUCCCGAGUUAUUUUUAUCUUCUGAAUCCAAUUCUCCCUGUGCAGCGGGAGAACUGUUCGGUUCUGCAAAUAUGUAUUGUAUCUAGGAUAUACUGCAACAUAUUUAACAUAUAUAGGACUGCUUGCCAUCUUGGGAGGGGGUGGGUGAAGGGAGGGAGGGGAAAAAACGAAACAUAAGCGAUUGCAAGGGAUAAUGUUGUAUAAAAAUUAUCCUGGCAUGGAUUCUGUCAAUACAAAGUUACUAUUAAAUAAAAUAAAAUUUAAAAAAAUAUAUAUUGUAUUUAACUUAUACUUUAACAUAUUUAACAUGUUUGGUCAACCUGCCAUCUGGAGGAGGGGAUGGGGGGAAGGAGGGGAAAAGUUGGAACAAAAGGUUUUGCAAUUGUCAAUGCUGAAAAAUUACCCAUGCAUAUAUCUUGUAAAUAAAAAGCUAUAAUAAAAUAAAUAAAUAAAUAAAAUAAAAUUUAAAAAAAAAAAAGGAAGAUGAGCCUUCCUGAUUCCAGACCCAACACUUUCCCCACUACAAUCCCACAUAGCUGCCCUGCUGGGCUAAAGCAACAGGUGUUAGAGAAGUGCUGAGUUUCCUAAUGUUUGGGGAAGAACUGCAGGAAGGGGAGAAAGUAGGAAUGAGGAGAAGGCUGAGUUAAGGAGCCCUAGGAGGAUUGGAUUGGACUUAAUAAAAAAGGGUGGAGGUGCUUACAUAACUUAAGAUUGUAUAUGGGAAAAGAUGAGAUCCCAAUGAAGAGAAUAUAGAGAAAGAAGGUAAAAGAGGUAUGUCUAUGUCUAGAAUACACAGGAACUAAUGAAAAACAUGGAGACAUGCUCAUAUUAGCAGGAUAAAAACCAUUAAAGAAAAAGAAGUCUUUUAAUAUUCAAUGGUUUUAGUUGCUACAAAGAUGCUGUGAUAGAGAAAGACUGGAAGUUACUAAUAAUAGUAAUAAUAGCUAGCAUUUAUAUAGCACCUACUCUGCCCAGGCACUAUGCUAAGCAUUUUACAAAUAUCAUGUCAUUGAAUCCUCAC